CGGAGGCCGCCCGCAGAGUCUGGGGCGAUUCCGAGUCCGGCGGACGAACUUCGCCCACGCCCCCCACCAAGGCAAUAGCCAGCCCGUUUUUUGGCCAUUCUUCCGCUGGGGCGUCUUGGCGCCCCGACCUUCGGGGGCUGAUUUUUGGGCACGGCUGUGCCCGUGGCCUAAUUUUGGCACACGGAGGACGCCCGCAAAGUCUGGGGCCAUUCCGAGUCCGGCGGAUGAAACUUCGCCCACGCCCCCCACCAAGGCUAUAGCCCACCCGUUUUUUGGCCAUUUUUCCGCUGGGGGGUCUUGGCGCCCCGACCUUCGGGGGCUGAUUUUUGCGCGCAGCUGUGCCCGUGGCCUAAUUUAGGCACACGGAGGCCGCCCGCAAAGUCUGGGGACAUUCCGAGUCCGGCGGACGAACUUCGCCCACGCCCCCCACCAAGGCUAUAGCCCACCCGUUUUUUGGCCAUUUUUCCGCUGGGAGGUCUUGGCACCACGACCUUCGGGGGCUGAUUUUUGGGCGCGGCUGUACCCGUGGACUACUUUUGGCACACGGAGGCCGCCCGCAAAGUCUGGGGCCAUUCCGAGUCCGGCGGACGAACGUCGCCCACGCCCCCCACCAAGGCUAUAGCCUACCCGUUUUUUGGCCAUUUUUUCGCUGGGGGGUCUUGGCGCCCCGACCUUCGGGGGCUGAUUUUUGGGCGCAACUGUGCCCGUGGCCUAAUUUUGGCACACGGAGGCCGCCCGCAAAGUCUGGGGCCAUUCCGAGUCCGGCGGACGAACUUCGCCCACGCCCCCCACCAAGGCUAUAGCCCACCCGUUUUUUGGCCAUUUUUCCGCUGGGGGGUCUUGGCGCCCCGACCUUU
rnacentral:lncRNA from 1 species